AGGUUAAGUUACAAAGGGCGCACGGUGGAUGCCUUGGCACUAGGAGCCGAUGAAGGACGGAACUAAUACCGAUAUGCUUCGGGGAGCUAUAAGUAAGCUUUGAUCCGGAGAUUUCCGAAUGGGGGAACCCAGUACACAUCAGUGUAUUGCCUGCAAGUGAAUACAUAGCUUGUUGGCGGCAGACGCGGGGAACUGAAACAUCUCAGUACCCGCAGGAAGAGAAAGAAAACUCGAUUCCCAUAGUAGCGGCGAGCGAAGUGGGAAGAGCCCAAACCGAGAAGCUUGCUUCUCGGGGUUGUAGGACUGGACAUUGGAGUUACCAAAGUUCGACGUAGUCGAAGUCAGCUGGAAAGCUGCGCCAUAGAAGGUGAAAGCCCUGUAAACGAAACGGCGGACUCUCCGUCCAGGAUCCUGAGUACGGCGGAACACGUGAAAUUCCGUCGGAAUCCGGGAGGACCAUCUCCCAAGGCUAAAUACUCCCUAGUGACCGAUAGUGAACCAGUACCGUGAGGGAAAGGUGAAAAGCACCCCGGAAGGGGAGUGAAACAGUUCCUGAAACCGUGUGCCUACAAUUAGUCAAAGCCCGUUAACGGGUAAUGGCGUGCCUUUUGUAGAAUGAACCGGCGAGUUACGUUUGCCUGCGAGGUUAAGAUGAAAAGUCGGAGCCGGAGCGAAAGCGAGUCUGAACAGGGCGCUUCAGUAGGUAGAUGUAGACCCGAAACCAAGUGACCUACCCAUGACCAGGUUGAAGGUGUGGUGAAACACACUGGAGGACCGAACCCAUGUAUGUUGAAAAAUGCUGGGAUGAGUUGUGGGUAGCGGUGAAAUUCCAAACGAACUUGGAGAUAGCUGGUUCUCUCCGAAAUAGCUUUAGGGUUAGCCUCGGAGGAUGGAUCAUGGAGGUAGAGCACUGUUUGAACUAGGGGCCCGUCAAGGGUUACUGAAUUCAGAUAAACUCCGAAUACCAUUGAUCUUACUCCGGGAGUCAGACAGUGAGCGAUAAGGUCCAUUGUCGAAAGGGGAACAGCCCAGAUCACCAGUUAAGGUCCCUAAAUUUAUGCUAAGUGGAAAAGGAUGUGGCGUUGCACAGACAACUAGGAUGUUGGCUCAGAAGCAGCCACCAUUUAAAGAGUGCGUAAUAGCUCACUAGUCGAGUGGCACUGCGCCGAAAAUAUACCGGGGCUAAGCAUAAUACCGAAACUGUGGGUGCACCCGUCAGGGUGCGCGGUAGGAGAGCGUUCUAAGGGCGUUGAAGGUCGAUCGUGAGGACGGCUGGAGCGCUUAGAAGUGAGAAUGCCGGCAUGAGUAGCGAAAGAUCAGUGAGAAUCUGAUCCACCGUAUGACUAAGGUUUCCUGGGGAAGGCUCGUCCUCCCAGGGUUAGUCGGGAUCUAAGGCGAGGCCGCAAGGCGUAGUCGAUGACAAGCAGGUUGAGAUUCCUGCACUAGUUUAUUUUGUUUAAGCGAUGGAGGGACGCAGGAGGCUAAGGAAAGCGCACGGCUGGAAAAGUGCGUCCAAGCAGUAAGUCCGGUAGCGAGUGAAAUGCUUGCCGCCUUAAGGACAAGCUGUGAUGGGGAGCGAAAUUAAAGUAGCGAAGUUCCUGAUGUCACACUGCCAAGAAAAGCUUCUAGUGAGAAAUAAACUACCCGUACCGCAAACCGACACAGGUAGUCGAGGAGAGUAUCCUCAGGUGAGCGAGCGAACUCUCGUUAAGGAACUCGGCAAAAUGACCCCGUAACUUCGGAAGAAGGGGUGCUGACCGCAAGGUCAGCCGCAGUGAAUAGGCCCAAACAACUGUUUAUCAAAAACACAGGUCUCUGCUAAAUCGUAAGAUGAUGUAUAGGGGCUGACGCCUGCCCGGUGCUGGAAGGUUAAGAGGAUGAGUUAGCGCAAGCGAAGCCCAGAAUUGAAGCCCCAGUAAACGGCGGCCGUAACUAUAACGGUCCUAAGGUAGCGAAAUUCCUUGUCGGGUAAGUUCCGACCCGCACGAAAGGCGUAAUGAUUUGGGCACUGUCUCAACGAGAGACUCGGUGAAAUUAUAGUACCCGUGAAGAUGCGGGUUACCCGCGACAGGACGGAAAGACCCCAUGGAGCUUUACUGUAGCUUGAUAUUGAGUGUUGGUACCGCUUGUACAGGAUAGGUAGGAGCCGUAGAGAUCGGAACGCUAGUUUCGAUGGAGGCAUUGGUGGGAUACUACCCUAGCUGUAUGAACACUCUAACCCGCGCCACUGAUCGUGGCGGGAGACAGUGUCAGG
rnacentral:rRNA from 1 species